rnacentral:lncRNA from 1 species
AUAAAGGCUAGUUUGGAUUAUAAUUUCUCUCCUCAAAUCAGUUCGAAACAAAGAGCUGGGGCUUAAGGAGAUACUGCAGCAAGCUGAAGAUGCAUCUCCUGAGGCCUGGUCUUAGUAGCUUUGGAAAAUUCUAGAUGAGUUCCCUUCCCUGGAAAACUUUUCGUACUGUUAAUUUUGGAAGUGAGAUGGAUUUUCACUGCUUUAAACCAGUCUGCAAGGUCUAAUCUGGUUAACUGUGAUGUUAUCAUGCUCAUCAAUGGGAAACAAGAAGCCUAGAAGCUGCUCUUGUGGUUAGCGCCAUAAGAAGGAGAGAGACUGAAGAUGAACUACAAAGCAUACCUGAAAAGAAAGGAGGGGGAGAGAGAGAGAGAGAGAGAGAGUCAUAUGCUGAAAAUUACAUCAAUGAAAUGUUUUUUCUUCUUGGCAAUGUAAGUCUCCAUUCUUUACAUCAUUUGGAAGACAGUAUACUAGACAGAAGAAAUUUGUAACUUAAAGUAAAGAAGUCUGUCUUCAUCUGUCAUCAGGAGGAGCAGCGUUCAGUUUCCCACUGAUUUAUUUUUGGCCUUCAACCUCGAUUCAGAUGCACUCUCCUCAUGAAGAUAUAGAUGUGGAAAGGACUUACAGAGGUUAUCUAAUCCAAGGUGGGAUGCACAAAACUUACGUCACUUCUGACAUUCAUAGAAAACAAGUGUGAUUCCAUAUCC